GAUGAACGCUGGCGGCGUGCCUAAUACAUGCAAGUCGAGCGAACGGACGAGAAGCUUGCUUCUCUGAUGUUAGCGGCGGACGGGUGAGUAACACGUGGAUAACCUACCUAUAAGACUGGGAUAACUUCGGGAAACCGUAGCUAAUACCGGAUAAUAUUUUGAACCGCAUGGUUCAAAAGUGAAAGACGGUCUUGCUGUCACUUAUAGAUGGAUCCGCGCUGCAUUAGCUGGUUGGUAAGGUAACGGCUUACCAAGGCAACGAUGCAUAGCCGACCUGAGAGGGUGAUCGGCCACACUGGAACUGAGACACGGUCCAGACUCCUACGGGAGGCAGCAGUAGGGAAUCUUCCGCAAUGGGCGAAAGCCUGACGGAGCAACGCCGCGUGAGUGAUGAAGGUCUUCGGAUCGUAAAACUCUGUUAUUAGGGAAGAACAUAUGUGUAAGUAACUGUGCACAUCUUGACGGUACCUAAUCAGAAAGCCACGGCUAACUACGUG
rnacentral:rRNA from 1 species